AACGCACAUUGCGCCCGCCAGUAUUCUGGCGGGCAUGCCUGUUCGAGCGUCAUUUCAACCAUCAAGCCCCCGGGCUUGCGUUGGGGCCCUGCGGCUGCCGCAGACCCCUAAAACCAGUGGCGGGCUCGCUGUCACACCGAGCGCAGUAGCAAUAUCUCGCUCUGGGCGUGGCGCGGGUGCUUGCCGUAAAACACACCACUUAUUAAGGUUGACCUCGGAUCAGGUAGGAAUACCCGCUGAACUUAA
rnacentral:misc_RNA from 1 species